GCUUGCUUAGGCAGUGCAUAUACUGAAACUGACAUGGCCCAGAAAAGAUCAGCAUGGCCCCUGCACAAGGGUGACACAGAAAUCGAUGUGUCCUACAGUUUU